rnacentral:rRNA from 1 species
AACCCGGCCUACAUGAAGCUGGAAUCGCUAGUAGUCGCAGAUCAGAAUGCUGCGGUGAAUACGUUCCCGGGUCUUGUACACACCGCCCGUCACACCAUGGGAGCCGGGAAUGCCCGAAGUCGGUGACCCAACCGUAAGGAGGGAGCCGCCGAAGGCAGGCCUGGUAACUGGGGUGAAGUCGUAACAAGGUAGC